GAUGAACGCUAGCUACAGGCUUAACACAUGCAAGUCGAGGGGAAACGAUGAGAGAGCUUGCUCUCUUAGGCGUCGACCGGCGCACGGGUGAGUAACGCGUAUCCAACCUACCCAUUACAGGGGGAUAACCUUGCGAAAGUAAGACUAAUACCCCAUGGCAUUUUAUGGUGGCAUCAUUAUAGGAUUAAAGAUUUAUUGGUAAUGGAUGGGGAUGCGUCUGAUUAGCUUGUUGGCGGGGUAACGGCCCACCAAGGCAACGAUCAGUAGGGGUUCUGAGAGGAAGGUCCCCCACAUUGGAACUGAGACACGGUCCAAACUCCUACGGGAGGCAGCAGUGAGGAAUAUUGGUCAAUGAGCGAGAGCUUGAACCAGCCAAGUAGCGUGCAGGAUGACGGCCCUAUGGGUUGUAAACUGCUUUUAUAGGGGAAUAAAGUGAGCUACGUGUAGUUUAUUGCAUGUACCCUAUGAAUAAGGACCGGCUAAUUCCGUG
rnacentral:rRNA from 1 species